rnacentral:rRNA from 1 species
CUACGUAGGGGGCGAGCGUUGUCCGGAAUGAUUGGGCGUAAAGGGCGCGUAGGCGGCCCGGUAAGUCUGGAGUGAAAGUCCUGUUUUUAAGAUGGGAAUUGCUUUGGAUACUGUCGGGCUUGAGUGCAGGAGAGGUAAGUGGAAUUCCCAGUGUAGCGGUGAAAUGCGUAGAGAUUGGGAGGAACACCAGUGGCGAAGGCGACUUACUGGACUGUAACUGACGCUGAGGCGCGAAAGUGUGGGUAGCAAACAGGAUUAGAUACCCUGGUAGUCCACACUGUAAACGAUGAAUGCUAGGUGUAGGGGGUAUCGACCCCUUCUGUGCCGCAGUCAACACAAUAAGCACUCCGCCUGGGGAGUACGGCCGCAAGGUUGAAACUCAAAGGAAUUGACGGGG